rnacentral:rRNA from 1 species
AUUGAACGCUGGCGGCAGGCCUAACACAUGCAAGUCGAACGAGUGGCGGACGGGUGAGCAAUGUCUGGGAAACUGCCUGAGGGCGGGGGAUAACUACUGGAAACGGUAGCUAAUACCGCAUACCAUCAGAUGUGCCCAGAUGGGAUUAGCUAGUUGGUGGGGUAACGGCUCACCACGGCGACGAUCCCUAGCUGGCCUGAGAGGAUGACCCGCCACACUGGAACUCAGACACGGUCCAGACUCCUACGGGAGGCAGCAGUGGGGAAUAUUGCACAAUUGGCGAAAGCCUGAUCCAGCCAUGCCGCGUGUAUGAAGAAGGCUUUCGGGUUGUAAAGUACUGUCAGCGGGGAGGCGUUACCCGCAGAAGAAGCACCGGCUAACUCCGUGCCAGCAGCCGCGGUAAUAC